UGCGGCGUGGUAGCAGUGGUAGCUCGCUGCCCUCAUAAGGCAGAGGUCGUUGGUCCGAAUCCAACCGCCGUAACCA
rnacentral:tRNA from 1 species